CCUACGGGGUGCAGCAGUAGGGGAUCUUCGGCAAUGGACGAAAGUCUGACCGAGCAACGCCGCGUGAGUGAAGAAGAUUUUCGGAUCGUAAAACUCUGUUGUUAGAGGAGAACAAGUAGGAGAGUAACUGCUCUUACCUUGACGGUAUCUAACCAGAAAGCCACGGCUGACUACGUGCCAGCAGCCGCGGUAAUACGUAGGUGGCAAGCGUUGUCCGGAUUUAUUGGGCGUAAAGCGAGCGCAGGCAGUCUUUUAAGUCUGAUGUGAAAGCCCUCGGCUCAACCGAGGAAGGUCAUUGGAAACUGGAGGACUUGAGUGCAGAAGAGGAGAGUGGAAUUCCAUGUGUAGCGGUGAAAUGCGUAGAUAUAUGGAGGAACACCAGUGGCGAAGGCGACUCUCAGGUCUGUAACUGACGCUGAGGCUCGAAAGCGUGGGGAGCAAACAGGAUUAGAUACCCCCGUAGUC
rnacentral:rRNA from 1 species